AGUUGAAAGUCCAUGGCUUGGGCAUGACUUUUUCCUCCCUGGAAAAGUGGGCUUUAGGACGGUUCAACAUGAUCCAGAAAGUGCAGGCUGUAUGUAAACGUGCCCCUUUUGGGGUAUGUUUUUUUCGCUGAUGGCACUUCUUCACGGUCAGUUACCUUUGAUCGGAAAAGCAUGACAUUAAAGCUUCUUGCACGUGUCUUGAGAUCAGCCUGGAUGUGGAGCUGAGCUACAUCGCAGAGGCACACCUCAGAGACUAAACUCAGACUAAAGGUUUGAUCCAGAAAAGAAGACUGCAUAAAUCACAGAGAUUCAUGAUUUUGCUUUAAAGUCAACACCAUUGCCAACUGGUUAGCUCUCCAACUUUUUUUUUUUUUUAGUUUUUUGUUUUGUUUUGUUUUCUCUUCAACCUUUUUAUUGCAAACUUCCUUUGAAAUUGCACAACUUCUCCAUUUCUUAAGCAUGCAGCAUUGACCUCCAAUCCUGUAUAUUGAGCUCCAAAACUUUGGCCACCUGAGGCAAAAAGCAGACUCACUGGAAAAGCCCCCGAUGCUGGGAAAGACUGAGGGCAGGAGGAGAAGGGGGCGACGGGAGGAUGGUUGGAUGGCAUCAUCCACUCAACGGAAAUGAGUCUGAGCAAACUCCGGAGACAGUGAAGGGCAGGGAAGCCUGGCGCGCUGCAGUCCCUGGGGUCGCAGAGAGUCGGACACGACUUAGUGAUGAGCAGCAGCAAUAGCAUCAUGACCUCCAGUUAUUCUCAAAGGAGGAUUUCUUUAGCAAAGCGAUUUCAUCCCUCGCUAAAGAAGCCCACUCAGUCGUAAACAUCUAAGGAAGGAAAUGGCAUUUCCUCCUCGUGUUCUCCCUUUCAAGUUCAAAAAGGGAUGAAAAAAAUUUCUGUAUGAAAAGCCCUUUGUAUUUCGUCAGCAACUAGAUGUAGCCUGGAACGACACUGACAUACAGAUCGCUCCGAUCCUGGGGAAUCGUGAGCCAUUUCAAAUGACAGUUGCUCUAACCAAGCAUUUGAGUCACAGAGAAAUUUUUGUAUCUGCCCUGCCUAUUCUGUUAAGGUCACCUUUUGGCAAUUAGCAAUUAGUUCUUCUGAUAUACUAACCCUUGAAUAACAUGUGCUCACUUACUUUUUCAGUAUUUUUGAACAGCGUGUCCUUCCUUCAGAACAGCACAGUAUAUGUUUUUUUUUUAAUAAAUAGCUUCUUCACACCAGGAUCAUUCCUUUGUUGUUCUAUGUAAUACUCCAUGACCAUGAAUCACAAGACCCUGAUUUGAUUAAUAUCAUAUGUGAAAAAAUUGCCCCACAGCCACAUCUGGAUACAAAUAAUUGCAGUCUACCUCAGCACAGCACACCUCACUCCCUUUUUCAUUUGUAAUGUAACUUAAAAAAAAAAAAUGGUUUAAGUAAAAAAGCUACUAAUCGAAACCGCCUUUAUCUCCCAAACUCACAUCCCCCCAAAUCCUUUUUAUCUUCCAAAACCCUACCCAGGAAAAAGAAAUACAUUUAUAAAAAGACAGAUUUCGCUGAUAGUUUUUUCAUCUUCUUUCCUUCCUGUCUUUCUGAUGAAUAGUUGAGUAAAAGAUUCUCUGU